AAAGUCGUAACAAGGUCUCCGUUGGUGAACCAGCGGAGGGAUCAUUACCAGGGGGCCGAGAGGCCUUCCCCAAACCCGUACGAACCCAUCCCGUUGCCUCGGCGGACGCCCGGCCCUCCCACUCGGGGGGGCCGGCCCGCCGGGGGUUCAGAACACCCUAUCUCCCCUCGCGGGGUUAGUCAUCUCUGAGUACACUAAAAACUAGUCACAACUUUCAACAAUGGAUCUCUUGGCUCUG
rnacentral:misc_RNA from 1 species